rnacentral:rRNA from 1 species
AAUCAACGCUGGCGGCGUGCCUAACACAUGCAAGUCGAACGCGAAAGUUCCUUCGGGAAUGAGUAGAGUGGCGUCCGGGUGAGUAACGCGUGGGUAAUCUACCCUUGGGUGGGAGUAACAUCGAAGAUGGCUAUACCGCAUAAUGCAGCGGCUCGACAUCGAGACAGUUGUUAAAGACGCAAUCGCAAGAUUGCGCGCCUAAGGAGGAGGCCUGCGUCNG